ACAUGGCUAUGGUAUUCUUUACUGUUAUAUAAAUGGAUUACUAUGUUAGCCUCGUACAAUCACAAUGGCAGUCUUAGAGAAUGGUACGUUCUUCAUUUCCUGUAACGGAUUAUUUCCAUCGGAAAUACAAUAUUUUUUUCCAUCACUAGUCAAGAUCUUAAAGCUCGAUUGUAAAGGCUCUAUGAAUGACAUUAUGUAAAGAAUAUUGUAGUCUCCUAGCCAGAACGAAAUAUAUUCCCUUUGGAUGGAUGGAUGGAUCACGUUUUGUACCCUUAUAGACUGAUUAUUAGUUGGCUUUGCUCUCAUAAUUUGUUGUGAAGCUUUUUGGGGUGUAUAUUUUUAACGUUCAUUCAGAAUGUUUAAUAUUUUUCAGCGAGGAUCAGAACACUGUAUAAAUCUUUUUGACUACAGUAUUAAUAUUUUUAUUAU